GAAUUCCAUAGUUAGCUGACUUUGACAAGGACCUUCAUUUGGACUCGAAUCGGUAAAAGUUGUAGGUUUCCAGCUUUCGAUGCAUUUUGGUUAGAUGUGGGCCCAUGUGUCAGUGUAAAGGAAAUUUUAUGCUUUGGUUAUUUGCUUUAUAGUAUAUAUGAAUAUAAUUAACUUUUACGCUAUAAGAAUUAUGUACCGAUAGUUUUAUGAAAAUUAUUUUACAAGAAAAUAGUUUAUUUUAUUGAAUAUUUUUUUUAUAUUCAAAUAGUCAAAUUUUCACUUCAAAUGAACGUUUUAGAUACUUCAUUUGUUUUUACAUCAUUAAAUAUAUAUUUUUUGCUUACCUACUACAUUUUUAGCAAGUUUCAAGACUUUUGAUAAAAAUGACGAAAAUACCCCUAUGAGCCAAAAAGAAAAUAAUAUGUUAUGUUUUGAUUCGUAAUCCUUCGUAUUUUGAUAUUUGAUAACUAUUGCUCACCGGGGAAGUGCGAAAGCUGAUAAGAGAGCCUUGCGAGGUUUCGAUCGAUAUUCGGGGUGAAGAAUGUUUGUCGAGGCCUCGGGCCGUUGUCACAGGCUCGAUGGGGAGUUCCGGAUCGUGACAAUAAUGGUGGAGUUUAACCAAAAUCCCUCACCUAAGAAAAUUAACUCGAGAUUGUGACUUUUUAUGUCUUGAGCAAACAUUUCAUCAUCGAUCCAAUCCAAAUAAUGCGUUAUUAUUCUUACUUUUAUCACUAUUAUUUUACUCACUAACUUGAAAGUAAAACUAAAAAAAUUACCAUUCAAAUAUGAAAGCCUGAUUAAAACUAAACUAGCAAAUUGAAUGGCCCAACAAAACAUAAUACACAAUAUAGCCCAACAUAAGAAUAUGACCCAAACAAUAAAGUUCAAGAAAGUCCAUACCAAGCUUAGGCUGUUAAAGUGCAAAAUUGAAUGAAUUUAAUGGCAACCGUUGGGCUUGGCAUAGCCCACUCCAACAGCCUUCCCUUUUCCCUAAGAUCCAAAAUGACGCCAUUUGGUACUUUCACAACCACUAGCUUCACCUUUUUUCUUUUUUAUCAGACAACACCAUUUGGUGCUUUCUUCUUCAACAACCGUAACUAUAAAAAGCCUUUUUUUCCUUUCAACCUUUAUUUUCUUUCCCAUUUUCUUUUUCUACUUGCAAGGCCUUGCUCUUACUCUAUAAAAACUUGCUUUCUCAAACCUAGCAAAACCUUAACUGCCUCACAACCUAUUGGCACUUCUCAUGUUGUCGUCGUAGCCUUAGAAUCGCUCAAACCCUCACACUCUUUUCCUUUUUGGCCUCAAGGCCAUACAAAACCUAAGCCCCCUAAAGCAUGACUGAGCCUCCUCAGCUCUAAAUUAGGUUUUUCUUUAUUUUUAUUUUUGGUUUCCUAUGGAUUAAUGGAUGCUCAAUCUAAGGUAUCAGGUUCAUUUUUAGGAUCUUUUUGUUAGAUUAAUAAGCUUAAAGUAAAGUAACCAAGAGGAGGGUGAAUUAGUUAUCAAAUAAAAAUUUUCCUUUUUUUACAUUUUCAACACAAUUGAAAUAUAAAGUGCAAAGUUAUAAAAAUAUAGUAUAAACUAAGCAAGUAAAGUGUACGCAGCCAAGUUUUUAUAGAGGUUCAACCUUUGAUGCUUACGUCCUUUCCCUUGAUAGCAUAAGGAGUUCGAAUCCAUUAUCAUAUUUUGUUUUAACAUAGGAUCAUUUGUAACCUUUAUAACAAAUGCCUUUUUAAGGAUCAAGCACAAGCUCGACCAAAGUUACUACUUUUUAAAGUUCAAGCACAACCUUUAUAACUAAAAUGCCUUUUAAGGAUCAAGUAUAAUCUCAACUAAAAUGCCUUUUAAAGAUCAAACACAACCUUUCUACCUUUUUCUCAGAGGUAUAACCUUAACAUUACCUUUCAAAAAGAUAUAAACUAUACAAUAGUGAAUUUUUAAAAAAUCUCUAGCUCAAAACCUUUAAUAAGGCUAGUAAGGAAUCUAAGUACAAAAAAGAUGAGAGCUUUAUCAAGAAUGAUGAAUGAUGAAUGAUAAAGUGAAGUUUAGGCUCAAGAAACUCUAGUUGAGAGAUAAAGAUAUGAUCUUGGUUUUAUGCUUUUGUGCAAAGAAAAGAUUUUUUUACUUUAGGCUCUCUUUCUUGUUUUCCUUUUUUUUUUCUCUAUCUUUCAAAUAUUUCAAAUUGUUCAAAUUCUUCCAAUCGUUACAUUCAGAGGCUUUUUCAUCAAGUAUCUAUAGGCAUCAAAGAAUAUACCUGUUGGAGCAAAUUUUAAAAUGAUUUUCGUACGUUUUGGCCAGCUUGCACAGUUUUGUCAUGCAUGGAGAAUCGAUUCUUGGUUCAUGAGUCUUGGUUCUUCAUAAAGUCUUGGUUCAAAGGUGACACCUUUACACUUUUGUAGAAUCGAUUCUUUUGCUCAUAAGUGUCAGUUCUUCACUAUGGUUUGCACCCAAAUUUGAAUUUGAGCUUGAUCUUUGGCACUCCAAUCUUAUCCAAUUAUACCAUAUCUUUCUUUUUCACCAAGUUUUUGAUUUUUGUCGUUGGUGCUUCAAGAAUCGAUAUCUUUUUCCUCUAGAAUCGAUUCUUUUUCUUCAAACUUGAGAUCUUUGAUUCAUUCUCAGUUAGAACCAAUGAUUGCUUCAUGGAGGAUUGAUUUUUUCAUGUUUGGAUUCUUCUUUUGGCACUCUAUCUUUCCAAAAUCUAUAAUUGCUCUUUGAGAUGUUGAUUCUUCUUUAUUCUUGAAGCUUCUUUCUUCCAAAAACUAAUUUAUUCUUUUUUUAGAAUUGAUUCUUCCUAUGAUAAGAGAAUAAAAUUUUCUUUCCACUCAUUUAAUAAUCGAUUCUAAAUAUUCAAAGAGUUGAUUAUUUAAGGAGGUCGAUUCUUUAUGGUUCGCACUUGAGUUCAAGUUUGCUUAAAAACAUUUUCCUUUACAAGCUAAACUUCAAAAGUCUUAUGGAUUUUCUUCAAGUUUAAAAACAUUUACUAAUCAUUUCCAAAGCAUAUUUAGAUAUGAAAUGCCCCAUACUUUGAUAUGGUGAUAAAUAAAGUUGAUCGAAUGCAAAUUGAGGUCAAUUAAAAUGUUUAGAAGUGAUAAAAGGCGAAAGGAGUAGUUUAGGAUAAAAUAUUUCGCAAGUGAGAAAAUAAUAAUAAAAUAAUAAUAAUUUUAUCGGAGGAGAAUUUGUGAGAUAAAAGGCGAUUUGGAAGUCAAGUGAGGCAUAAUAAGGUAUUUUGGGUACCAAGGAGACAAGAGAAAAUUUUUGGAAUAAAAUAAAAUUUUAUUGAUAAAAUAAUAUUAAAAUAUUAAUAUUUAGCCGGAUGUCGAAGUCAAUCAAGAAGGAGGAUCAUAUGGUUGAUCCAAGUGGGGGAGAAGAUGACAAGCCCGACUCUACAGAAAUAUUUGUGAUGACAUACAUGUGGUGGAUAGCAUGUUUACAUGCUAAGAGAGUCUUGAAAAAUUUACAAAAGUCGGUAUUGUACCUAGAGGUACAAUAAAGUUGAUUUAAGCCUCGAACUAGAUCAAAUAGAGAAUUUACAAUGAAAUUAAGAAUUUUAAAGUCCCAGAAUGGGUUAAUAUGGUGAUUCGGAGUUCGAGGAUCAAUUUGGAGUCAAACUGGAAUUUUCGCUAUCUAGGGGCAAAAUGGUCAUUUGCCACCUGGGGACAAAAUGGAAAUUUUUAGAAAAGAUUUUUGGCCCCAUUUGACUUAUUGGAGUAAGAUUUGAGGUUUAGAAGUGAAAAAUUUUAAUUUCGGUAUAAUUUGGAGUAAAAGGGUAAAAUGGUAAUUUUACCAUUCGAAAUCGAAAAUUUAAUUUUUUGAAAGGAUUUUGAUCAAAUUUAAUUAUUUGGAGUGUGAAAUGAGUAUGAGGAGUGAAAAUUAUGCAUUAUGGAAAAUUUUCAAUUUUUGGGGUAAAAAUGUAAUUUUUGAAAAGUUCGGGGGCAAAAGUGUAAUUUUGAAAAAUUUGCUCCACCAAAACUUUGGAAAAAUCUGGAAAUUUCACUUAAGACUUGGAUAAGUCAAAGGGAAUGCAUGGUGAAAAAAAUAGGACAAGUGGAUGGCUAAAAAAAAAAAUGAAUUAAUAAAAUAUUUAAAAUAUGAAUAAAAUAAUAUUAUUUCAUUAAACAAUAAAAAGGCAAAAAAAAAAUCAGCCCACCCAUUCUUCUUCUUCAACAUUCGGCCAAGCAAGAAACAAGAGAGAGAAAGGAAAAAACAAAACCCUAGAGAGAGAAAAUCAAAGAAAAAGUGUGAAUUUUCAAGGAAAUUAAGUGAAAAAGGUGAGAUUUUUUCUAUUAAGCUUGAGUUUUCUUAUUCCCAAGCAUUUCUCUUUAUUUUCCAUGAUUAAAUUACAUGUUUUCAUGAUGAAUUCAAUUCUGAAAAAAUGGGUUAGGAGAGAGAAAGUUGUUGGAUUUAUUUGAUUUUAAUUUAUGUUAGUGUUUUUAGUUAGUUUAGCAUAUUUAGAAACAAAACAACAAGAAAAGAAUUUAUUUUCUCCCCCAACCAUUAAUGGCUGAAUUUACCAUGUAGUGAGUGAGGAUGAGUUUGAUUUUAUUCUAGGAGAAUUGGUUAAGGAAUGAUGAAUUAUGAGCCUAGAAAAAUAAUGGGAAUUUUCGGAGCAAAAAUACGAAUUUUUACCCACUAGGGGUAUUUUCGUAAUUUGCUGUUGGGACUGAUAAUUUGCAUCACACUGAGGGACAUUAAGUUAAUUUGGGUGCAAUUGAGGUAUAGAAACUGAAAAGAAUUAAAUUGGAGUUUAAACGAACCCGUUAGGAAUUUAAUCGGGUGAUAAGACGAAUUAGGCUAAUACCGGAUUUAGAUAGUUACCAGUGCAUUUUUGCAUUCCAUAUCAUGCAUUGGUAGUCCAAAUUAGUUUAAUUUUGAUUUAGUACCAACUUAGUGAAAUUCUCGAUUUUGUACUGUGUCAAGGUGGUGAGUCCUCCAAUAAAGGCAAGGAAAUUGCAUCCGAGGACCAGUAGACAGAGUGCUUCGAAAGUCUGCAUUCUAGACAUUGUGAGUAAACUUAUUAUCGUCUUAAUUAUCUAGAGUAGUUUUAUACAACUAUGUGAUUUUAUGAAAAAUGGGUUUAAAUGGUAAAUUGUUAUGUUUUAAGGGAAAUUGUGAUUUUAUAAAAUGAUUUUAUAAAUUUUCUGAAAAAUCGAAUAUUGGUUUUGAAAAUAGAGUAAUUGGAGACUGCUAGUUUGUGUUGCAAAUUUAUGGUUUUGAAUUGAAUGGCUUAUGACAAUAAAUGAGCAUGAAUGGCUAAACUGAUUUUGGUGUUAUAAUUAUUUAUACUGUGUAUUCAGCCUUGAGAGGCUAGGUUGCGAUAAAUUGCCAUGUCAUGCUAGAAUGAAUUUUAUUGAUUGGUGGAUUAUAUAUUAAUUAUUUACUGCAGAGGGGGUUCCGUGGACCAGCCUAUUAGAGGGGCACGGUAAACUCCAUUAUAUUAUUACCUCGAACGGAGAGGCGCGUAGGGUAUCUCCUGGGGUAUAGCUUAGGGUUCACUUCACGCCAAACCACCACGUGAAGGGGAACUCAGCCAACGCCAAGGAACGGCUGUAUUUUUCUCAAACAAAAAUAUAUUUUAAGUGUAUACAAAAUUUUAACAGCCUUGGCGGACUCGGUUAGAUGCCCUGCGCAAGGUAUCACCGAGUAUGAGUUUUGGCACGAGCCAAAGUUUUAAGAAAUUCAUAAGCCAAGUUGAUUACUCGAUUUUUAUGGAUUGAUUUUAUUUGGUUGAAAUGAGUUGAAUGGUAAUGAAAUUACAGUAUGAUGAUUUAUUUUAAUUGUCUCCAUUUACUCGACUUUAGAUAGUUUAGAUGGUAUCUGUUUACUCACUGGGAUUUUAUAAUCUCACCACCCUCAUUUCCUCACAUUUCAGGCUCAGGGAAUUCCGUAGUUAGCUGACUUGAACACGGACCUUCAUUUGGACUCGAAUCGGUAAAAGCUGUAGGUUUCCAGCUUCCGAUGCAUUUUGGAUAGAUGUGGGCCCACGUGUCACUGUAAAAGAAAUUUUAUGCUUUGGUUAUUUGCUUUAUAGUAUAUAUGUAUAUAAUUAUCUUUUACGCUAUAAGAAUUAUGUAUCGAUAGUUUUAUGAAAAUUAUUUUACAAAGAAAAUUAGUUUAUUUUAUUGAAUAUUUUUAUUAUAUUCAAAUGGUCAAAUUUUCACUUCAAAUGAACGUUUUAGAUACUUAAUUUUUUUUAAAUCAUUAAAUAUAUAUUUU
rnacentral:lncRNA from 1 species